UUACCUACGCGGCGCAGCAGUAAGGGAUAUUGGUCAAUGGGGGAAACCCUGAACCAGCAACGCCGCGUGAGGGAAGACGGUUUUCGGAUUGUAAACCUCUGUCCUCUGUGAAGAUGAUGACGGUAGCAGAGGAGGAAGCUCCGGCUAACUACGUGCCAGCAGCCGCGGUAAUACGUAGGGAGCGAGCGUUGUCCGGAUUUACUGGGUGUAAAGGGUGCGUAGGCGGCUUGGCAAGUCAGCGGUAAAAUCGCGGGGCUCAACCUCGCUCCGCCGUUGAAACUGGCGUUCUUGAGUGGGCGAGAAGU
rnacentral:rRNA from 1 species